rnacentral:rRNA from 1 species
AUUGAACGCUGGCGGCAUGCCUUACACAUGCAAGUCGAACGGUAACAGGGAGCUUGCUCCGCUGACGAGUGGCGAACGGGUGAGUAAUGUAUCGGAACGUACCUUUUAGUGGGGGAUAACGUAGCGAGAGUUACGCUAAUACCGCAUAUUCUCUCCGGAGGAAAGCAGGGGACCGCAAGGCCUUGCGCUCUUUGAGCGGCCGAUAUCAGAUUAGCUAGUUGGUGGGGUAAAAGCUCACCAAGGCGACGAUCUGUAGCGGGUCUGAGAGGAUGAUCCGCCACACUGGAACUGAGACACGGUCCAGACUCCUACGGGAGGCAGCAGUGGGGGAUUUUGGACAAUGGGGGCAACCCUGAUCCAGCCAUGCCGCGUGAGUGAAGAAGGCCUUCGGGUUGUAAAGCUCUUUCAGCCGGGAAGAAAUCGCAUGGGCUAAUACCCCGUGCGGAUGACGGUACCGGAAUAAGAAGCACCGGCUAACUACGUGCCAGCCGCCGCGGUAACAC